rnacentral:rRNA from 1 species
UGCCAGCAGCCGCGGUAAUACGGAGGGUGCAAGCGUUGUUCGGAUUUACUGGGCGUAAAGAGCGCGUAGGCGGCUUCAUAAGUUAAGGGUGAAAUCCCGGGGCUUAACUCCGGAACUGCUCUUAAAACUGUGGAGCUAGAGACAAUCAGAGGUGGGUGGAAUUCCAGGUGUAGAGGUGAAAUUCGUAGAUAUUCGGAGGAACACCAGUGGCGAAGGCGGCUCACUGGCUCGAUACUGACGCUGAGGUGCGAAAGCGUGGGGAGCAAACAGGAUUAGAUA